GCCUUCGUGGUGUAGUGGUCAGUACGCUCGACGCGUAACCGAGAGGUCCGUGGAUCGAUUCCCGGCGAAGGCG
rnacentral:tRNA from 1 species